GUGAGGAAUAUUGCGCAAUGGAGGCAACUCUGACGCAGCCAUGCCGCGUGCAGGAAGAAGGCGCUACGCGUUGUAAACUGCCUUUAACCGGGAAGAAACCCCAGGACGUGUCCUGGGUUGACGGUACCGGAGGAAUAAGCACCGGCUAACUUCGUGCCAGCAGCCGCGGUAAUACGAAGGGUGCAAGCGUUAUCCGGAUUCAUUGGGUUUAAAGGGUGCGUAGGCGGAGCGUUAAGUCAGUGGUGAAAUCCUGCAGCUUAACUGUAGACUUGCGAUUGCUACUGGCGCGCUUGAGUGCGCUUGAAGUGGGCGGAAUGUGCCGUGUAGCGGUGAAAUGCUUAGAUAUGGCACAGAACACCAAUUGCGAAGGCAGCUCACUAAGGCGAUACUGACGCUGAGGCACGAAAGCGUGGGGAUCGAACAGGAUUAGAAACCCCGGUAGUCC
rnacentral:rRNA from 1 species